AAAAAAAAAAGAAAGAAAGAAAGAAAGCCGCUCCUCCUCACAUCUCCCAACCCGAAGAUUUCAAUUUUCUCUCUCUCUCUCUCUCUCUUGGGCUCACAGCCUUUUCUAAUUUGGAUUUCACAAAAGCCUCCGUGAGAUAGAUUAUGUUCUAGAAGCUUCACGAAUCUACUGGUGCAACAUAGCCACCAAGCCCCACCCUAUUCAUGGAUCACCCUUACGAUGCCUGAGCUGCGAAGCCGAGCACGCACGAACCAGGCAUCCGACAACCCGGAUCCGAACCGGAUUAACCGACAACAACCACAACCCGACUACAAGAACAAGCUCCUAAACGUGCCAACUCGCUUGAGAAGGGGAACCGAGCGGAACCGGAGAAGUAACAAGAACGCGAUCGGCGUCGGCGAGAGGGGGAGAGGCCGCAAGGUUGUCACCGAAGCGAGGUCGUUGAAGGACGACGAAGAAGGAGGAGAGGAGGAGGAGAUUAGGGUUUUGAGGGAGGGAGGUGGGGAAAAAGCCAUGGAUGAUUGCGAUAGUGGCGGCGCCGGCGGCCAUAGCGGCAAUAAGGGCCUGGGGGCCGAGGAUGAAGGCAGCACUGCUCCUCUCCCUGAGAAGGUCCAAGUAGGUAGUUCCCCAGUGUACAGAAUAGAAAGAAAAUUGGGAAAAGGAGGCUUUGGACAAGUGUAUGUUGGUCGACGGGCUGGUAAUUCAAACGAAAGAAAUGGCCCUGGAGCUGUAGAGGUAGCUUUAAAAUUUGAGCAUAGGAGUAGUAAAGGAUGUAAUUAUGGACCGCCAUAUGAGUGGCAAGUUUACAGUGCACUUGGCGGUAGUCAUGGUGUUCCACGAGUCCAUUAUAAGGGCAGGCAAGGCGAGUACUACAUUAUGGUCAUGGAUAUGCUUGGGCCAAGUUUAUGGGAUGUUUGGAAUAAUAACUCACACACGAUGUCUACUGACAUGGUGGCAUGUAUUGCCAUUGAGGCUAUCUCCAUAUUAGAGAAGAUGCACUCUAAGGGAUAUGUCCAUGGGGACGUAAAACCUGAGAAUUUUUUGCUUGGUCCUCCUGGGACUCCUGAAGAAAAAAAGCUAUUUCUUGUGGACCUUGGAUUAGCCACCAGGUGGCGAGACAGUACAACUGGCUUGCAUGUUGAGUAUGAUCAACGUCCUGAUGUUUUCAGGGGAACUGUCCGGUAUGCUAGUGUACAUGCUCAUCUUGGUAGAACUGGUAGCAGGAGAGAUGACUUAGAAUCUCUUGCGUAUACUCUUGUUUUUCUUCUCCGUGGCCGGUUGCCAUGGCAAGGAUAUCAGGGAGAAAAUAAAGGAUUCCUUGUUAGCAAGAAGAAAAUGGCCACAUCCCCAGAAACUCUGUGUUGCUUUUGUCCUCAGCCUUUCCGGCAGUUUGUUGAGUAUGUGGUAAAUUUGAAGUUUGACGAAGAACCUAACUAUGCAAAAUAUAUCUCUCUCUUUGAUGGGAUUGUUGGUCCAAAUCCAGAUAUAAGGCCAAUAAACACUGACGGUGCUCAAAAGCUUAUAUAUCAGGUUGGACAUAAGAGAGGCCGAUUGACCAUGGAGGAGGAAGAUGAUGAACAGCCGAAGAAGAAGAUUCGAAUGGGGAUGCCUGCAACACAAUGGAUUAGUGUUUAUAAUGCUCGUCGGCCAAUGAAGCAAAGAUAUCACUAUAAUGUGGCAGAAGUAAGGCUCUCCCAACACAUUGAAAAAGGAUAUGAAGAUGGGUUGUUUAUCAGUAGUGUGGCUUCAUGUUCAAACCUUUGGGCCCUUAUUAUGGAUGCUGGCACUGGCUUUACUGGUCAAGUUCAUGAACUCUCGCCCUACUUUCUUCACAAGGAAUGGAUUAUGGAGCAAUGGGAGAAGAAUUACUAUAUCAGUGCAAUAGCUGGAGCUAAUAAUGGGAGUUCAUUAGUUGUUAUGUCCAAGGGGACACAGUACUUACAGCAGUCCUAUAAAGUCAGCGAUUCAUUUCCGUUCAAGUGGAUCAACAAAAAAUGGAGGGAGGGAUUUUAUGUUACUGCCAUGGCCACUGCUGGAAGUAGAUGGGCAAUUGUUAUGUCUCGUGGUGCAGGAUUUUCUGACCAGGUUGUGGAACUAGAUUUUCUCUAUCCUAGUGAAGGUAUUCAUCGAAGGUGGGAUGGUGGUUACCGCAUCACAUCAACGGCUGCAACUUGGGACCAAGCUGCUUUUGUUCUUAGUGUUCCAAGAAGAAAACUGUCCGAUGAAACUCAAGAGACUCUCAGAACUUCUGCUUUUCCUAGCACACACGUCAAGGAGAAAUGGGCAAAGAAUCUUUAUAUUGCAUCAAUUUGCUAUGGUCGAACUGUUUCAUGAACUGUCAAAGUUCUGUUGGGAUGCCACUAAUGUCAUUUUGACCACUCACUUCUAUGGCCCGCGGACUGGCUUUUAGCACGUACUUCUUGGAACCAAGGAUCCUCUCAAGGCAAAUUUACUGAUCAUGGCAUUUUGGAGAUGAUGUACAACUUAAGAUUCUUAUGGCUUAUUCAUACCAAGCCUAUUUUUACGGGUCUGUUUGGAUGUCAUGGAAUCUGACUGGCUUUAUUGAGAUCUACUCGUGGUGGUUGAAAUCCUUCAUCCACAAUGGUGCUAUGAAAUGCCCAGGUCAUCACCACAAAUAAGGGUAUGGAAUACUUCUUUCCCCAAGAUGAUUUUUUCUCCCCCCCACACACACCAAAAAAAAGGGAUCAUUUCGUAGAUGACUGCCAUUUUGUUUCUUGGGUAUUAUAUAUUUUAUGCAUUCUACUCGUUUAGAAACUUGACAUUCUGUACACCUGAUCAUGUCGGGGGCCCUCAGGGCAACGAUACACUUAUUGUGAGAGGAUAACAUAGGAAAUUCAUGAGAUUUGCAACAUGGUCAUCAAUUUUAGGUUUGAAUACCAACAAGAAUCGUUAUGAUAGAAAUAAUUGUAUUGAAGAUUACGCUCCAUUUAAUCAUGGGCGAGAAUGAGAUCAACAUUGGCAAAAGCAAUUUUUUCCUUUGAUUAUGAUGCCAUCUUAUUUCAUUUGAGUAGAAUGAUAAAUAUUUAUGGAUUUUUCAACUGUGUCUGUCCUAAAUUCAAUAACAUCAAUAUGCAGUACAUAUUGAAAGAACGUGUUUUAUUCUUCUCCAGUGUCCUUUCUUUCUUUCUUUCUUUUUAUUCUAGGUGUACUGGAAAAUAUACCAACCCUUUUUGCUUUGGUAGAAGGAAGCCUGUUUAUAUGGUCCUGAGUUUCAACAUGUGAAACUCAUAAAAAAAAAAACAUGUGAAAUAAUUCCCAAGAAUCAAGGUGUUAAUUUUUAAUGUCUGUAAAGCUCAGAUACCCUUUCCGGAGGUGUCACAAUAAAGGGACAGUUAGAUCUGCAAUGGAGACAACUCUUAUGUUAUACUAAAAGACAAUGUAGAUUCUGAUUGUAGAAGUGCAGCACUACUAUAUAUUGAGGUUGUGCAAGCUUCACCUGAACUGAGCCAGAACUUUGCCCGUGUGUGUGGAUGUACUUUCUGGAGGUUUUGUGUGUCAAGGGGGGUUAUGUCUUACCGAUUGUUGCCCUUCAUAGAAUGGGAAACUAUACUAGGUGCACAAAAAUCAUACUUUAGUUGAUGUAAGAUAUGUAAACAUGUUGGAUGUUUUGAUUUGUCAAAACAAGAUUCUCAUCCCUUGAAAGAUCAGAAAAACAAAAUGAAUGAUUUUCUGUUACUUGGACGAGUUUUGAUUUCACAGUUCUUUUACACACAUGGCAGGAGCCUGGGGUUUGGCAGGCUGUCUUAUAUGCACAAUAUUGCCACUUAUGUAUAUGCAGGUUUUCAGAAUUUAUGAAUGCUUUAUGCUGAUGAUAUCCAUCCAUCAAGAUGCUGAAUUUGUAGAAUGAGCUGAGCUCACCAAUGCUUAUUUUUCCAAUCAACCGUCAACAUGAUGGUCAUUUGCUUAAAUAAGCAUAAAUAUGUGCUCACUUUUCUACCUGUUUUGGCAAACAUCAUGACCAAAGAGUGAGACAAUCAACAGCAUUUAAUAGACGUGUGCUUUUUGUACAAUUGAUUGGAUUGAUUUUGUGACCUUCAGUUGACAGUGGAAGAGGUUUGUUCAAAAAGUUGAAUGAAAGUGGUGGCGUUAAAGCU